GUACCUCUUUGGCAUAUUUUGAGACGGCUAUUCAGAGGGGCUGCAGACACAAGCAUAGCUCUGAAAAAUCUAUCCUUUUGUAAAAGAAAUUUACAUCUAUCUAUAUUAAUAAAGCAAACAAAAGUUGCAGGGAGAGGCUUUUUCUGAGGUCCCUUUUUUCUAAACCUAGGAAAGAUUAAAUCACAGGAAAAGGGAAUUAAAGAAAGGUCUGACACUUUUAAAGGUCUGACAGAGAAAUUAUCACUACAGGUUAUGAUCUAUUCUUUCUGUGGGCUAUUGCCUGAGAGACUUUAUCUGUACAAUGAAACAACAGCCUUUGUUCACAGUGCAUUUCUUCCCCUCAUCCUCCCAUAACCUGCCACCACAGCCCUCAGGACCGCCAAGACUCUAUCCUUCCUGUACAAUAUGAAAACGUCAGCCAUCAGGCUCUUUUUUGAGUCUCAUAUUUUGUGUGACUCUCAUGCUCAUGUGCAUAUAAUAAAUUUGUAUGUGUUUUUACCCUGUUAAUCUGUCUCUUGUCAGUUGGUUUUAUAGACACAAAUUAUUGAAUCUUCAGAAGGAAGAGGGAGGAAAGUUGCCUUUGUCCCUAACAGUUUUGGUGAGCCCAGGCAGGAGAACAAGUCACUCUGCUCAGUUUAGAGGCUGUAAAUGGGACCCUGGGACAACUAACAAAAAAGCCAGCCAAGAAAGCUAUCUACAGUUUACGGGAAUAUGGGAAGGUGUACUUUUGUGUGCAGAAUUGAAAUUUUUUUUUCUCCCUACCUGAUCCCUCCAGAGUUUGGAGACUAUUUUCAGAGUGACUCUACACACUUCCUGCUUCCACGUUUAGCAUCCCCAAGUGAAGAGAUAUGAAGAGUGUUCAAAAGAUGCUACAAAAUGUUUAGUUUUCAACUCUCCAGAGGAAGCUGACAUGGCAACACUCUGUUAUUUGAAGAUUUGAGUUUUCCUACUACAAGGAAGAAGUUGUAACUUCUGACUUAGUAUGAGGUUCAAGCCAGAUGGAUCAUGUGAUGCAGUCUUGUCAAUGAAAACAGGAAGACAUUUCUCAAGAUUAGAAUGGUCCUGGAACAAAAAAUUGCCUUACCAAGUAAUCAGUGCCUACUAUUGGAUGUAUUCAGGUAAGAACAAUAACAACAAAAAAGCUACAGUUUUAUGAGAUAUCUUAGGAGAUUGCUUAAUUCAUAUUUGGCCUUCUUAUUAUAAGAUGAUUAAAUACAAUGAUAAUUGAGACUCAAGAUAGGACAAUAUUACAAACUAUUAAAUGGAUUUAAGUGAAAGUUGAUUCUAUUUAAACUUUGAAAUCUUUUACCAAAAAAAUAAAAUCUCUUCUAAAACAUUUAGUUCUAUUAUGCCUAAUUGCCAAUGACAAUUAUAUAUAUAAUUUGAUCUUUCAGGUUAAAAUUGUAUGUAUGUUAUUAGAACACUAAGAAUGUCCACUUGUGUAUUUUUAUGUUGUAUAGACUAUGGCUCAUAUAAUAUUACUCAUGUAAUGGAGCAGAUUUUGCAUCAUUUUUGAACAAUGGAAUAUGUAUCUCUUCCCUUCAAAUGUCAAAUAACAUUAUCUUGCAGCACUUUUCUUUUUAAAAGUUUUCCAUAUAAAGAUAGUUUUUCUGUGUUUCAGGUUGACUUACGUAUCAUGAGCUACUCUAGAAUUAAUGAGUUUCAUCCUUGGGCAGAGUUAGGUCGAGAUACUCGAAAACUGGUGAAUAGAGGUUAUGAUGUUUUAUACAUCCAUGUUCUCCAAAGAUCCAGUACAUUAUUUUUU
rnacentral:lncRNA from 1 species